rnacentral:rRNA from 1 species
AGGGAAUAUUGGGCAAUGGGCGGAAGCCUGACCCAGCCAUGCCGCGUGAAGGAAGACGGCCUUAUGGGUUGUAAACUUCUUUACUAUGCGACUAACUAGAUUUACGAGAUAAUUCUAUAGAAUGUAGCAUAGCAAAAAGCACCGGCUAACUCCGUGCCAGCAGCCGCGGUAAUACGGAGGGUGCGAGCGUUAUUCGGAAUUACUGGGUUUAAAGGGUGCGUAGGCGGCUAAGUAAGUUGUCAUUGAAAGGCUACAGCUCAACUGUAGUAGUGGUGGCGAUACUGCUUAGCUAAGAACAUGGGAGGGGUACUUGGAAUGUGUGGUGUAGCGGUGAAAUGCGUAGAUAUCACACAGAACACCAGAGGCGAAGGCGGAGUACUAGACCAUAGUUGACGCUGAGGCACAAAAGCGUGGGGAGCAAACA